CCGGCGGCAGCGGGACGCCUGGCGGGGGGACAGCGGCCCCGGCGUCGAUGAAAGCGACUGAGGAGGCGGAGGCUCCUCCUGAGAGGGGAGAGUGAACCCUGCGCCCCUUCACCGCAACCCCACGGGGGACUUUGGGCUAGCUGCUCUGGGAGGUGCUGCUGCUCCCUGUGGUUAUGAUCCCCCCGGCCUCCUUGUUGCACUUCAUUGUCUAAGGCCAAGAGGCUCCACCACCUUCUCAGUGUCCUGUGGCAGCCUUGAGAAUUGUCUGUGGUGACCAGAGGGGUGCUGAAGGCAGCUGGUGCCCGGUGCAGCUGCAGGGCUGGCCGGGCACUCCCAGGCAGGCCGGGCUGCAGCACAAGGCUGCUUGAGGUGGCAAGAUGGCGAUGGCUGGCCUGUCUGCACUGCCCAUGGAGGCUUGGCUGGCUGGGUUGGCUGACCAAAGGUGACAACUGCUUUUAAACAGCUCCAGCCAAGGCAGUGAGCUUUUGCUAGACUCUUUGCUCCCCCAGCUUGCUCCUGCCCACCGUUUCCCCUCAGUGUGGAGGUGACUGGGUACAGUUUUGUUGAGGAGCCUUCAGUUGGCUCUGGUGGGGAGCAGAAAGGGCACCUCGGACAGAAAUCCUCUGUACCAAAGCUUCUGAGCGAGCGUGAUUCAGGUGGGGGGUGCUGAAGGUGACUUUUAGAUGCUCCGCCAUGAGUUACGUCUUGGCUGGGAGGUACCAGCUGGCUGGAGUCAGCUGUGGAAGGGGCAGCGUGACAUAAAGCAGAGGAGCCCUGGACCAGCUCCUGCAGGGGCUGCAGCCAGGUCCCAUGGCGGCAAGCUGCUGAGAUGUUUAACUCAGGAUUGCCUGAACUUUGUUGAUUUGGCCUCCAUUCCUCUCAUGCACAUUGGAUUCAAGACAAUUAGCUAAUGUGUGCUCGAUACUUUGAAGAUGUGAAGUCUUGUGGAAGCCCUGAGCUUUAUUCAUUUCUAUUUGGAUGAUUUGGCUGGACAAAAAAAGGUGUGGGUGGUUGAUAUUUUUUCCCCCUCACGUUUCAGUAGCCUUGAACAUGUUGCGGCUUGUGAGCAGACAUGAACAGUUAGUAUGUGUCUCACUGAAUGUGUGAACAAUUUAUUUAUACUCAUCAAUCGAGGACCUUCCUCAGUUUAAACAAUUCUGUGAUUUGUUCCUUUAGGACCUUCUUCAGUUUAAACAAUUCUAUGAUUUGCUCCUUUAAAGUAAUGCUUUUUGUCUUCCACAUUUCCUUUAAUAUUUUUGUAUAUGCAAAUAUUGAUGUGUCCAUACUUUAGGGAUAGAUAGACAUAGGCUGCUAUCUGAUUUAUUGUUAAUCCAUUAUAAAUUCUCACCUAGAUUUCCUCAGGAGCCUUUUAAAAUUUUCCUUUUUCUUUUUUCAAACUUCCAGGAAAGUUCUACUGUGGUGUAUCAUAUCUUUUGUAUUACCCUGAAUGAGAACAUUUAUGAGGGGUAACACUCAAGAAAAAUAUUUUCAAGUAACUUUCACUGUCAAGAAAACCCCAACCAACCAAAAACCCCACCAGACAGGAAAUGGAAAGUAGUACGCUGAGAAACAUUGCCGUUUACAAGCACUAACUCUGUUUAGGUAAAAAGACAUGUUAAAGCUCCAGAUCUAUUGCUUUGUCUUGUAGAGUUGAGAAAGACAGGGAAAACAUUGUGCAAAGCUUUGGAAGGACUGCGCAAAUCUUUGUGCUGUUUUGGCUGACACUUUGGGCUAUUUUAUCAACAUUUACUUUUUCUUCUCUGAUCCCUUCUGUCUCUGAAAUGGCGCAUAUCAAGAAGCCUCAAGGCAAAUGGAAACCUGAAAUUACUUGUAGCUACUGUGAAUUUAUUAUUAUGUCAUUUCACUGAAAAAAACUUGGGAAUUAAGAUGUGCUGUAAUACAACUGUGUCCCAAUACAGACCAGUUGUGUAGUAAGUAUUUUAAGGCAUUGUAAUAAUUUUCUAUCUGGAAAAGUAGAAAAAGAUGUAUAAAAAGUGUAUAAAAGGCUGAAAGAUACUUUUGCUUAUGCAGUGGUGAGAAUCUUAAGUAGGUCCUGUGGUGUUUAAUUUGACCUAACAACGACCCUGACAAAGCACUGCGCUGAGAGCUGGGACAUACACACCUGGGCGAAAUACAUGGGUAAGUUACUGGUGUUCAGGGCUACUGAACAUUUGCCCUUUUGUCGUUAUUGAUUCAUUAGGGAAUGCUGUGUAGGGUAAAUUUAUCUGGCCACACAUACCUGUCUUUCACCCUUACAGCCUGCAACUACCAAGAAGAUUAAAAAGAAACAGGGCGGUAUUACUCGCUAUGAGUGUGGUUAUCUUCCUAAGCAGCAUCCAAACUUCAGUACAUUUCUGAGUUUUCUUUCACUAGUCAGAAGUAAUAUAUAUAUUCUCAUGACUCCAUGUUGAAUUGUAAAAAGGGUUUAUAAAGGGUUUGCUCAAUUGGGGGGGAGGUGUGUGUUCUGAGCGCACUUGGCAAAAGCAUGACAGAAUUGGAAUGGUUUAUCCCUGUUCUGUCUCAACCAGCAGACAUGACAUGUGAAACUUUCUGUAUAGGGCUAGAAACAACAUAAGUAUGAACAGUCGUGGACUUGAGAUUUUAAUUUAUUUAUUUUUUUCUUAAAGGAGGACCUGAUACACUACGUAUUGGAUAGCAGUAGUAACAUUUUCAAGUGGAUUAAGUAUUUGGAGGUAGCUGUUAACAGUUACAAAAGCUGCCAGAUGUAGAACAGCAGAUUUAUUCCUGGAUACCUUCAGUAAACUUGCUAAGUAGAUGUACUGAUCCCUGCUGUGUACCUGCUGAGUGUAUGUAAUCUAAAAUAUUUCUCUUGACACUCUCCCUGAAGGUAGAGUCUGGUAUUAGUUUUACCCUCAUUCAGGUGAGACAGGGUGAGGAACUUGCCCGGUGUCACGGACGGAAAUGGAAGCAGACUUUUCCCCAGUGUGCUGGUUUCUACCUCUGACUGUUACAAUUGCUUUCCCACAAGUUCUGGCAGAGCCCAUCAUCAUCAUCCAUUAAGAUGGAAAGAAUAGUGCAGCCUCUCAAAGAUGUUGGAUGUCACUUCUGCAAAUAAUGCCAUCGCCAGUGCUACAUUCGCAGAUGGUCUUCUGACAUGAAAACUCUCAAAUAUCAGCCAUAAUACCUAGUGCUUGUAUAAUGUUUUACAGGACCAAGACAUUAUACAAACACAGACACUGAAAAACUUGAGUUGUUUCACUUAGAGUCACCAUAGAGGUCACUAGCCAAUCUCACCUGUGCAUUCAGAAGCAUUUUAAGGUGUACUUGGUAAUCAGAGAACUAAUUCUAUUGAAUUAAAACUAACUUUGAGGCGAUACUAUUAAUAAGAAAUACUCUGAUAAUAGAAUAUCACUCUGACUAUUAAAAACAGAGAAGGUACUGCAUUUAACCGGGUAACUAUGGCUGAAUGCUCCACCUUUAAGUAUUCCUAGAUCUAUCAGAAGCCGUCUUUCAAUGGUUAGUGAGAAGAAAAAGAGCUUUCUUCCUUCUGUGCUUUUUGUGGACAUUCAGUUUCUUCGAAAACGGUUGUGUAGACUGGCGUUCGUGUGCUGGUCUUCUCCCUCAGCUUCCUUUCUAGCUGCUCUGGAAGAUUUUCAUUAAAACCAGAAGGACUGGGAAUAUAUUUUUUACAUUUGGCAGAAGCUGAUGGCAGUUGCUCAGGAAAACAACCUACUUGCAACAGAUUUUUCAAACCCUAUAUAUGGCUAGAUAAACAUCUAAGCAUUUGGUAUCUUGCAGUUGUAUUUUAAAGCAAAACAAAAUAAACCAAAAAGAACUUCAAAAAGUUGCAGAUAAGACCCCUAAGUGAAAUGUAAAAGAAACACAGAAUUUUGAGAGCCUGGUUUCUGAUGGUUCUCUUUUAUGAUAAUUCUGGAUAUCUAAUUAAGAAUAAGGUUAUUAAGUUUUUCUUGGUUAAAAUAUUCAUAGGAUCUCUGUUUUCUCUCUGGUUCCCAAUUUUAAAGAAAACUAUUAAGAGUUUAAAGAUUUUUUUAGACCUUUCUCCUCAGUAACGUUUGGUUGAAACUGCUUACUGAGUUCAAAAAUCAUGUCAAUGAAUGACACAUAACUCUUGAAUUGGGUGGUUUUUUGUUUGUUUUGUUUCAUUUUUUUUCCCCUCUUUUCCUCUUCUCCUUUUUUUAGGUAAUUAGACCAAGAGGAAAUCAAGUACCUGAAAUUAAAAAUAAUGAAUUUAUUACAUUUCAACAUUGAAAUAUUUCCUUUGUGCACAAAAAAUGAUUGUGCAGAAAAAUACCUCAGUGCUCCUUUUAAGCUGCCAGAAGUAACAUUAUUAGUACAAAAUCUGUGGAUAAAUUCACUUUUACAAUAUUGUAACCCCCACGCAUUAUUACAGUAAUUGCUUCCACCUAAGUGUAUACGUAGAGCAUGAAAAUAUAUCCUGAUUUUAAAAUCACUUACAAGCAUUUCUCAUUCUUGCCAGUAUUCCUUUAUAUGUAGGAAGGUUUAACUUUACUAAGUUAAAUCGCUGAAGAAGUGUCUGCUACUUAGUGAUGUACAGCAUCAAUGACAUAAAAUCUCAUGUUUUUCUUGUGUUAUAUUCCUGGUUUUAUAUAUACAUGUGACACAAUGGACACAUCUGAUGUGCACAUGCAUUUCAGGACAGAAGCUUCAGCAAUGUAUUUUUUCUGUAACAGGUGAGCAGGCCAGUUAAAAAUGGCUUGAUGGUACAUAAUUAGAGCAAUGUUAAACUUGUUUUUUCUUAGAAUAGUUUGUAAUCUUUUUCAAAAAGUUAAGGAAAAUAGAUCAAUGCAGUUGCUUAUUUUCCACUUAAAAGAAAAAAAUAUGGUGAAUGUAAUUCAUGUUCAGCACAGUGAGACACUAAUCUGUAUUACCAUGCUGCAAAUACACAAUAAUUCUCAUUACCAGUGUUAAUGUUGCAAAUUUAUACUGCGUCCUUCAGCCACUGCAACUGUGGUAGACCUCUUGAGGGUCAUCAUCUUUAUAAAAUAAUCUCGUCACAGGUCGUCAGUUUUUCUUUGAAAGUCAAGGGUUUGAGCCUAUUCAGUCAAUACCUACUCCUCUGCCUGCUAAAGCUAGGGAAAAACUCUUUGGAAAAUUAAUUUAUUGAAUCCCAGGACAGUCAUCCUUAUGUUUUGCAGUUCGUGAAUAUGGAGAGAACAAUGCUGAUGGGCAGUCUCCCACUUCUCUUGGUCCGCUCCAGGUCAUAGGCAGGUGGGAACAGGACUGCUGAGGCCUGGCAGCUUCAUCAAGCAAAUGCAAGAUGGUUUUGUAUGAACCACAGUCUGCAAGGCAGAAAAUCACUUUGAAGUGAGCCAUGAUCAAUAGGAGGCUGAAAGAAGUGUCUUGUUCUGAUCAUUGUAUGUAAUUAUUAUAAAAUUGUUUGACAGAUUACCGACUUUCAGAAGUAGAGAGUCUUAGAAGCAAGUGCCACAACAAAUGUGGUUUAUGAAUUUUAUUUUUUUCUUUUCAAUGAAUAAUUAACCGUUUAUUGUACUGAUCAUAUCUAACAUUGGAUUCCUCCUGCUUGCAGUGUUCUGCUGUGAAUGUUUUAGGGCCCAUCAGUAUUGUAACUUUGGUCUUGGCUGUGUAUGUGCUGAAGUACCUGAACAUACGUUAUAAGACCUAGAGCUGUCAAAUUCCCCCUAAACCUGUCUCUCAUGGCAUUAUAAAGGCAGUUCUGCUGCCUCACUCCUCAGUACCUAAAGUGACAGGGAAAGAAAGAGAGAAAACCUGAACAAGAAGCACCCAGUAUGUAGCAAGCCAAGGUACAAUUGGAAAAAAGACAGGGCAGCACGUGUGUCUUGUAGCCACCCAGAAAAGGGUAUGAAGCAGAGAAGAAAAAGUUGCAUACAGCUGUGGCUGAAUUGUAUUAUAAAGCAUCAUAAGAAAACAAUUUUCUUUUAAAACUGCUGACUUGUUUUUGCUUUUAUUGAGUUAUUUGGUGGCCCUCAAUGACUAUUGACUUAGGUAGCUUGAAGUGUCAAGGCAGAAGAAGCAGUUAAAGGCAGGAUGUCCUUGCACCCCUUAAUUAAAAGAGAUUAAAAGUGUUGCUAUUUAACUUUGAGCUGAGGAAGAUGGAAAACAUGUAUUUAGUGUUGUUUCCACUAUUACACAGUUAUAUCCUUGAUUUUUGACUGUUUGUUAAUUUCCUUUUUGAUCAUUGUGUAGGAGAGGUUUCCUUGUUUUAUUGUUAUCUGAAAUAUCCAAAACUGUAAUCCUGGUUUGGUAGUGCACAGCUAUGUUUAUGUGAUCAGACUUUACAUGUUAAAUGUGUUUUCAUCAGUAAUCUAAUAUUUAUGAGCCAUUACAGUAUUGAGGUUUAGCUAGAGGUUUUCUGUACUGAUAACGCAUAUGUUUGUUUUCCAGUGAUGUAAUUUAUUGCUAAGAACAAUUUCUGUUUAACAGAACUGAAGUGUUCUUGAUAUCUGCAGAUGUUAUUCUGUAUAGCAUUGGAGUUUAGAAUAGAUGGCCACAUACAGAAAUGUAUAUUAUUUCAAAAGAGCUAAAAUCUAUAUUAUAAUAAAGGAAGAAAAUAAUGGUGAACAUUUAUUAUGUUUUGUUUCUAUCCUGACACUACCCAGGUUUUCUGACAACAAUUUUCAUUGCACCAUUUUCAGAGUGCUAAAUAUGUAGCAUUUUGGCAAGAUCAUUGACUCAAACGUACUAGUAUUGUGCUGGCAUUCCUACUCCUUUGACUUGUAUCCUGGGUGCAGGCAGCUGGAUCAGUAUUAAUCGCUGCAGAAGAUCCCGUCUGGGUGCCAGGGUUUCAGACCACUGGAAAAGGCUUGUUCUUGGCAGGAGAGCAGCACAGAUACGAGCUGGGAAGGCAUCCUCCUUCCAGUGCAUCAUGGUGUUCAGGGCCAGAUUUCUGUGUACUUUGGAAAAAACAUUACUGAAAUUAUUCUUUUACAAGCAAUUAAGAAAAGACCAUGCUUUGGUAGUUUAAUGUAUUUACAAAAAGUAGCAAAAAAGUGAAUAUAGGUAAACAUAUCAGUGGGAGAAGAGUGUUGUAUUUAUAUAGAAGUAUGUAUCUGUGUAUAUACUGAUGUUCACAUAUGUGAGUGUGUGUGUACAAGUGUGUUUUUAUACUCCGACUUAACCUAUAAUAAAUGUUUAAAACAUGUACAUUUCAGAAACAUUUAAAAAAAUGA